AUACAGGACUUGUUAUAAAUCUAUUUUCAGAGCAUCUGAAUAUGAAGUUGUACAGAUGGACAUGCUAUUUGGAAUUGGACUACGCCAAAGCAAAAUGCUUUCAUGCAGUGGCACUUUGUGCCAUGGCAAUGGGCCAAGACACCUCAUGCCCAGAGCCCAGGAGAGAAAUCUCAGCAUCAUGCCAAUGCAAGAGUUUUGUUAUCCCUUCUUUUGGGAAAAAGGCAACAGAGAUGAGGACUGAGAUGUGGAAGAACACUUUCCCAGGCAGGGCAGCAUCCCUGGUCAUGACUCUCCUGAGCUUCCUCUCCCAGCUUCACCGUAGACCUCUCAGAUACCAGUCCAGCUGACAAAAAGAAACGCCCACUAUAUGUUGAGGAAGCAUCUGGUGCAACUUGGAUGUUUUUUGUCACUGAUUUUAAUAGCCAAAUGUGCAAAAGAGCUUACUGCAAAUAUUUCAAGAUUUUUGCUGAUGGAAGUUACAGAUAUGAAUUGAGAGACUGGAACCAAGGGAGAGAUUAUGGCUAUUUGGAGCCUGAAGCACUUAAAGCAUACGGAUCCUGUGUGCUUCUCCUGCCCCCCUUCUCAUUUCUUCCCUCACGCACUCUUGGAACUGCAGCAGGAAGGCGGCUUCCCUCUUGGGAAGCAUCAGUGAUCCUUUUCCUUUGCAGAUAGGGAAUUUCUUGGAAGACAGACAGGUAUGUUCCUCCAUGCUUCGAAGUUCUGGCUUGGCCUGGCCUGGCCUGCUGCACUUUUCUCCUGGUAAUAUUUGUCCAGUUCUUUGUUGGGGUGAUGCUGAAAGAGACCUUGCAGCAACAGAUCUCACUGAGAUGAAUGUUCAUAUUGUAGACCUCAGAAAGACCACACUAGAUCAGAAAAAUGUCACGUUGUCUAUCCUUUUGGGGAACAUUGUGAACUAGAAUAGUUUGAAAAAAUAAAAAAGGGAUCUGGGAAAAUCCA
rnacentral:lncRNA from 1 species